UACGUAGGGUGCAAGCGUUAAUCGGAAUUACUGGGCGUACAGCGCGCGCAGGCGGUUGCCGACGUGCCGUGUGACAAACGGGGGCUCAACCCCCGAGGGCCACGGUAAACGGGGCGACUGGAGGAAGGGAGAGGGAUGUGGGAAUGCCCGGUGGAGCGGUGAAAUGCGUAGAGAUCGGGCGGAACACCAGCGGCGAAGGCGACUCUUUGGCCUGUAACUGACGCUGAGGCGCGAAAGCGUGGGGAGCAAACAGG
rnacentral:rRNA from 1 species